rnacentral:rRNA from 1 species
GCAAGUCGAACGGUAACAGGAAUUAGCUUGCUAAUUUGCUGACGAGUGGCGCACGGGUGCGUAACGCGUAUGCAACCUACCCUUUACUGGGGGAUAGCCCGGAGAAAUUCGGAUUAAUACCCCAUGGUACUAUAAGAUAGCCUUAUUUAAUAGUUAAAGAUUUAUUGGUAAAGGAUGGGCAUGCGUGACAUUAGUUAGUUGGUGAGGUAACGGCUCACCAAGACGAUGAUGUCUAGGGGUUCUGAGAGGAAGGUC